GCGCGAAAACUUUACAAUGCUGGCAACAGCGAUAAGGGAACCUCGAGUGCCAGGUUACAAAUCUGGCUGUCGAGAUGCCUAAAAAGCAUUUCAUAGCAAGGGCCUGGCAAGACCGGUGCCAGCCGCCGCGGUAACACCGGCGGCUCGAGUGGUAACCGUUAUUAUUGGGUCUAAAGGGUCUGUAGCCGGCCGGAUAAGUCUCUUGAGAAAUCUGGCAGCUUAACUGUCAGGCUUUCAGGAGAUACUGUCUGGCUCGAGGCCGGGAGAGGUGAGAGGUACUUCAGGGGUAGGGGUGAAAUCUUGUAAUCCUUGAAGGACCACCAGUGGCGAAGGCGUCUCACCAGAACGGACCUGACGGCAAGGGACGAAAGCUAGGGACACGAACA
rnacentral:rRNA from 1 species